rnacentral:lncRNA from 1 species
UGUGCUUGCUUCUUCCAUGUGCGAUAGAAUUCUUUGCCAAGUUGAUUGCAGAAUUAUUGUCAAUGAAGAUCUUCAUUGCCCCUCAACUGGGGCAUGGAUUUGGCUCAUUAUGUUGAGCAAUCAUAUUGCUUGACAUGCACUUGAAGCUACAGUUACAUACUCUGCUUUACAAGUUGAAAGUGCAACUAUGGAUGGCUUUUUUGAUGACCAUGAGC